GGUAUUCCUUAUCUAUCUAAUCGUUGAUUAAUCUGGAACCUGUCCCAUUGCACUCUUUGUUCUUCAUAUUUCAGGUUAUCUCUUUGUUGGCUGCGCUUCCUCACCCCGGUCACAUAGUUAGCUAUGCUCCGGGGGAUUCGCGCGCUUGCCGCCGCGAUAUAACCCGAACUAUUUGAACAACCAAAAGCACAAUAAGACAGGUUCUGCGUUUAGUUGCCGCGCUCUAAAAAAUG
rfam:Raoultella ornithinolytica strain S12, complete genome.